UACGGAGGGUGCAAGCGUUAUCCGGAUUCACUGGGCGUAAAGGGUGCGUAGGUGGGCAAGUAAGUCAGUGGUGAAAUCUCCGGGCUUAACCCGGAAACUGCCAUUGAUACUAUUUGUCUUGAAUACUGUGGAGGUCAGCGGAAUAUGUCAUGUAGCGGUGAAAUGCUUAGAUAUGACAUAGAACACCAAUUGCGAAGGCAGCUGGCUACACAAUUAUUGACACUGAGGCACGAAAGCGUGGGGAGCAAACAGG
rnacentral:rRNA from 1 species